UGCCGCUCCAGGACACAGGGCGCUUGGUAUCUGUGCAAGGAAGGAGACACCGGUGCCAUUGGGAAGGAAAGUGAUUAACACAGAGGCCAGGGCGCUGGCCAGGAAUGCCUGCUGGUGGCACUGGGACCUUUGUAUCCGCGGCUCCAGAGGAGGAUCACUGCAAACGCAACUGUGAACAGCACUGCCUGAGAGUAAGGCGAGUGCCUGCACGCGGAUCUCGUGUGUCAACGCCUGGUGAAUGGACACUCAGAUCCCAGCAAGUUCUGCCCUGGGCAUCAGGACAGAGCCUCUUAUGUGGAAAGACACACAUGAUAACACAGCCAUGGAUGCAGGAGAGUCACAGAAUCUCUUCUUGGGAACCUCGGCCCUGCUUACUUAGGACAGCUCAGAGAAGAGCACAGAGUAGUCCUGGCCAGAUCCCUUCUCCUUGCUAUUCCUCAUCCUUCCCGACUCCACUCACGAGAAUAUGUCAUUAACCACCACCCUCACCUCACCUAACCACCACUCUCAACUUAUCUAACCCGUACUCACUUCAACUACCACCCUCACCUCACCUAACCAUCACAUCACUUCACCCAACUACCACCCUCACCUCACCUAACCACAAGUCUCAUCUAACCCAUACUCCACCUAACCAUGACCCUCACCUCAUCUAACCUCCAUUCUCAACUCAUCUAACCAUCCCCUUCACCUAACCACCAUCUCACUUCACCUAACAGUCACCUUCACUUCACCUAACCACUCUCCUCACCUUAUCUAACCACCACUAUCAACUCAUCCAACCCAUCCUCACUUCACUUACCCACCACCCUCACCUCACGGAACCCAUCUUCACCUCACCUAACCACUAACCUCACCUCACCUAAUCACCACCUUCACCUCACCUAACCAUCACCCUCACCUCACCUAAUCACCACCUUCACUCACCUAACCACUAACUUCACCUCACCUAAUCACCACUCUCAACUUACCUAAUCUGUACUCACUUCACCUAACCACCCCCACUCACCUCGCCUAACCAUCACUUCACCCAACCACCACCCUCACCUCAAGCCUCAUCUAACCCAUACUUCACCUAACCAUGACCCUCACCUCAUCCAACCACCAUUCUCAAUUCAUCUAACCAUCUCCUUCACCUAACCACCAUCUCACUUCACCUAUCAACUUCACUUCACCUAACCACUCUUCUCACCUAACCACCACUCUCAAUUCAUCUAACCCAUACUCACUUCGCUUACCCACCAUAUUCACCUCACUUAUCCAUAACUCUUACCUCACCUAACUGCCACCCUCACAUCAUCUAACAACCACCUUCAUCUCCACCUAACCACUUUACUCACUUUAUCUAGCCACCACCCUCACCUCAUCCAACACAUACUCCCUUCACUUACCCACCACCUGACUCACCUCAUGGAACCCAUCUUCACCUCACCUAACCACUAACCUCACUUCACCUAACCACCACUCUGAACUCAUCUAACCUAUAUUCACUUCAACUAACCACAGCCUGCACCUUACCUAACCCACCCUCACCUCACCUAACAGCCACCCUCACAUCACGUAACCACCACCUUCACUUUGUGGUGGAAAGCAGUUUGCUGAUUUCUCAAAGAACUUAGAACUACCAUUCAACCUGGCAAUACCAUUACUGGCUAUAAACCCAAAGGCACAGAAAUCAUUCUAGCAAAAAGACAUGCCCAUCAACAGCCCUAUUCACAAAGCAAAGACAUGGAAUCAAUACGUCUCCAUCAAAGGUGGACUAGAUGAAGAACAUGUGGUACAUACAGAGCAUGGAAUAUUACGCAGCCACAAAGACUGAAAUCACGUCCUUUGAAGCACCAUGGAGGCAGCUGGAGGCCAUCAUCCUAAGCCAAUUAGCACAGCAACAGAAAACCAAAUACCACGUGUUCUCGUAAGUGGGAGCAAAACACGGUACUCAGGGAGGAGAAAU
rnacentral:lncRNA from 1 species